GUGGGGAAUAUUGGGCAAUGGGCGCAAGCCUGACCCAGCAACGCCGCGUGAAGGAAGAAGGCUUUCGGGUUGUAAACUUCUUUUACCAGGGACGAAACAAAUGACGGUACCUGGUGAAUAAGCCACGGCUAACUACGUGCCAGCAGCCGCGGUAAUACGUAGGUGGCGAGCGUUAUCCGGAUUUAUUGGGUGUAAAGGGCGUGUAGGCGGGACAGCAAGUCAGAUGUGAAAACCAGAGGCUCAACCUCUGGCCUGCAUUUGAAACUGUUGUUCUUGAGUGUCGGAGAGGUAAUCGGAAUUCCGUGUGUAGCGGUGAAAUGCGUAGAUAUACGGAGGAACACCAGUGGCGAAGGCGGAUUACUGGACGAUAACUGACGCUGAGGCGCGAAAGCGUGGGGAGCAAACAGGAUUAGAUACCCGGGUAGUCC
rnacentral:rRNA from 1 species